UUUUAUCUAUCAUUAACAUAUUUGUAAUAACUGAAAAUAUAUGUAUAUCACCUAUCUAUAUUCACGCAAUGAAUUAUGAAUUUGUCGUAACAAAAAAAUACACAAAAAUUUAGUAUUAUAAAAAAUUGUAAAAAGUAAAUUAAGAGAUAUAUAUUUUUUUGGGACACUUUAUUAGCAUACCAUCACUAAAUUUCAAAAUUUCUUUCUCUUUUGAUUUUAAGAAAAGAAAAUAAAUAUCAUUUUGGUACUGAUAUACAAGUAUAUAAUCUGAAAUAUAAAAUUUAUUGUAUGAAAAUGUACUAAAAAUAUAUUUAAAAACCUUGGUUCUAAUCCGUAAUUGAUUUUUUUUUGCACUUUACUACGGUGCUGCCUUUCUUUACCCUCAUUAUUUUUGUUCUUACAUCCUGUCGUGACCUUCAUAACCUGACAUUUAUUGAUUCAAACAUUUCAAACAGAUUUUGCACUAUGUUUCUGCAUAGACUGCAACAUUGUCUUCAUAGAAUUUUUCUACGAAGACAUUUGUCAAAUAUCUUAUAUUUUCGCGAAACAAAGAAUAUUGGUAUUUUAUAAAAUAAAACAUCAAAUUGAUUAUAAGUCGACCAUGGAAAAAUGCAUUGAACUAUGAAUCACCAACUCGAUUUUGCGUUAUUUAAGAAAUAAAAUUGUCAAGUAACGCAAAUUUUUUUAAUUAAAAAUAUUUCACAUUUAAUUUGAUGGAUAAUCUUUAACUUCAGAUCUCGGAACGUAAAAAUGUAAUUGUACACACUUUCGGGAUAUAUUUUUAGACAAUUGUAUGACAUGUCACGACUAAAUUAGAUUUUUUAGAAGAUACUAUCCGUUAAGUUUAAAAUUUUCACUUCCUCUGAAUACCUAAUUUUUCGUAAGACUGUAAUUAUUCUAUAAAUUAGAAAAGUUUGCUUAUUAUAAUUUUUUUUUUUGCAUGAAAGUAGAUCGGAUAUUAUAAGAAAGGAAGAACAAUGUUUAAUGUAACAUAACAAAAGAGGCACAUUUUAUUUUCUUUAACAAUAAAGUAAAGAAUGCUCUCACACAGUCAUGGUUCAUUGUAAAUGUUAUGUGUUAUCUAAUAUUACAAUGCCUGUAACUUGUACAAUAUGUACUAAAUAGUCUAUAAUUUGCCAUGCUAUAUGACUAGUUUA